rnacentral:rRNA from 1 species
GGUUGAUCCUGCCGGACCCCACUGCUAUCGGGAUGGGACUAAGACAUGCUAGUCGAGCGUCUUCAAGCUAUGAUGGAGACGGGCACACAGCUCAGUAACACGUGGCUAACCUGCCCUUGAGACAGGGACAACCCCGGGAAACUGGGGCUAAUCCCUGAUGAGUGAGAACUCCUGGAAUGGAUUCUCGCCGAAAGGGCGUCUAGACGGCGCUUCUAGGCGUCGCCCAAGGCAAGGGGCCGCGGCCGAUCACGCUGUCGGUGAGGUAACGGCUCACCAAACCUUUACCCGGUACGGGCCGCAACAGCUGCAGCCCCUCGAUGGGCACUGAGAUCAUGCGCCACGCCCUACCGGCCCCCAGCGCUCGCGACCACUCUCGUAUACCUCAUUGUGUGUAGGGGAU